rnacentral:rRNA from 1 species
GUACACUCCUGCGGGAGGCAGCAGUGGGGAAUAUUGCACAAUGGGCGCAAGCCUGAUGCAGCCAUGCCGCGUGUAUGAAGAAGGCCUUCGGGUUGUAAAGUACUUUCAGCGGGGAGGAAGGCGAUAAGGUUAAUAACCUUGUCGAUUGACGUUACCCGCAGAAGAAGCACCGGCUAACUCCGUGCCAGCAGCCGCGGUAAUACGGAGGGUGCAAGCGUUAAUCGGAAUUACUGGGCGUAAAGCGCACGCAGGCGGUCUGUUAAGUCGGAUGUGAAAUCCCCGGGCUCAACCUGGGAACUGCAUUCGAAACUGGCAGGCUAGAGUCUUGUAGAGGGGGGUAGAAUUCCAGGUGUAGCGGUGAAAUGCGUAGAGAUCUGGAGGAAUACCGGUGGCGAAGGCGGCCCCCUGGACAAAGACUGACGCUCAGGUGCGAAAGCGUGGGGAGCAAACAGGAUUAGAUACCCCUGUAGUCCC